rnacentral:tRNA from 1 species
GCACUAGUAGCUCAACAAUAGAGCAUCGGUCUUGUAAGCCGGGGCCGGGGGUUAAACUCCCCCCUAGUGCU